GACGAACGCUGGCGGCGUGCUUAGCACAUGCCAGUCGAACGGAAAGGCCCCUUUGGGGGUACUCGAGUGGCGAACGGGUGAGUAACACGUGAGUAACCUGCCCUUGACUUCGGGAUAACUUCAGGAAACUGGGGCUAAUACCGGAUAGGAAUCCUUGCUGCAUGGUGGGGGUUGGAAAGCUUCGGCGGUUUUGGAUGGACUCGCGGCUUAUCAGCUUGUUGGUGGGGUAGUGGCUUACCAAGGCUUUGACGGGUAGCCGGCCUGAGAGGGCGACCGGCCACAUUGGGACUGAGAUACGGCCCAGACUCCUACGGGAGGCAGCAGUGGGGAAUAUUGCACAAUGGGCGAAAGCCUGAUGCAGCAACGCCGCGUGCGGGAUGACGGCCUUCGGGUUGUAAACCGCUUUCAGCAGGGGCGAAGCUUGUGGUGACGGUACCUGCAGAAGAAGCACCGGCUAACUACGUG
rnacentral:rRNA from 1 species